rnacentral:snoRNA from 1 species
UUGCCAAUGAUGUCCUGAGCACUGUACGGUCUGAGUUCUGGGUACAGGUGACAGAGUGUGUUCUAAGAACAGACAGAUCGGGCAA